rnacentral:rRNA from 1 species
AACGAACGCUGGCGGCAGGCUUAACACAUGCAAGUCGAGCGCCCCGCAAGGGGAGCGGCAGACGGGUGAGUAACGCGUGGGAAUCUACCCAUCUCUACGGAAUAACGCAUGGAGACGUGUGCUAAUACCGUAUACGUCCUUCGGGAGAAAGAUUUAUCGGAGAUGGAUGAGCCCGCGUUGGAUUAGCUAGUUGGUGGGGUAAGGGCCUACCAAGGCGACGAUCCAUAGCUGGUCUGAGAGGAUGAUCAGCCGCACGGGGACUGAGACACGGCCCAGACUCCUACGGGAGGCAGCAGUGGGGAAUAUUGGACAAUGGGCGCAAGCCUGAUCCAGCCAUGCCGCGUGAGUGAUGAAGGCCCUAGGGUUGUAAAGCUCUUUCACCGGUGAAGAUAAUGACGGUAACCGGAGAAGAAGCCCCGGCUAACUUCGUGCCAGCCGCCGCCGUAAUAC